CCCUUAGAUGUUCUGGGCUGCACGCGCGCUACACUGAUGCACUCAACGAGUUUACGACCUUGUCCGAGAGGAUUGGGUAAUCUUUUUAAAAUGCAUCGUGAUGGGGAUAGAUUAUUGCAAUUAUUAAUCUUCAACGAGGAAUUCCUAGUAAGCGCGAGUCAUCAGCUCGUGCUGAUUACGUCCCUGCCCUUUGUACACACCGCCCGUCGCUCCUACCGAUUGAGUGGUCCGGUGAGGCUUUGGGAUCUGAGCGGAAAGAGCGUUUCGCUGUUUCUGCUCGGAAAACUCAGUCGAACCUUAUCAUUUAGAGGAAGGAGAAGUCGUAACA
rnacentral:rRNA from 1 species